UUUUUUCAUAGUACGGACCAUAUGGUCCAAAUCAUGUUUUAAAAGGUGUAUUAUAUCAUAUUUUCAAAGAUGUGUAAUAUGCGAUUUAAUGAUUGACGAUGUGAAAAAUGAUCAAUUAUACUCUCGCAUGAGAGAUACAACUCGACUCCAAGUUAAUAUAUUCGACAUCAUAAAUAUUGUCCAUUAUAUGCCUAAUUUAGUAAGGAG
rnacentral:lncRNA from 1 species